GAGGGUGUAGCUCAGUGGUAGAGCGUGUGCUAAGCAUGCACAAGGUCCUGGGUUCAACCCCUUGUCCCUCU
rnacentral:tRNA from 1 species